ACGCUCGACACCUACGGGAGACAGCAGGUGGGGAAUAUUGCACAAUGGGGGAAACCCUGAUGCAGCGACGCCGCGUGGAGGAAGAAGGUCUUCGGAUUGUAAACUCCUGUUGUUAGGGGAAAAAGAGGAUGGUACCCAACAAGGAAGUGACGGCUAACUACGUGCCAGCAGCCGCGGUAAUCUGAGCGGGCUGGCAAGGC
rnacentral:rRNA from 1 species